rnacentral:rRNA from 1 species
AGCAGCCGCGGUAAUUCCAGCUCCAAUAGCGUAUAUUAAAGUUGUUGCAGUUAAAAAGCUCGUAGUUGAAUUUCGGGAUCAAUAUGUUGGUCGUGCCUUUGGUACGUACUAGCUUAUUGAUUUCUCCCUUCUGACGAACCAUGAUGUCAUUAAUUUGGUGUCAUGGGGAAUCAGGACUGUUACUUUGAAAAAUUAGAGUGUUUAAAGCAGGCUUACGCUUGAAUAUAUUAGCAUGGAAUAAUGAAAUAGGACGUUUUGAUUCUAUUUUGUUGGUUUCUAGGAUCGACGUAAUGAUUAAUAGGGAUAGUUGGGGGCAUUAGUAUUCAAUUGUCAGAGGUGAAAUUCUUGGAUUUAUUGAAGACUAACUACUGCGAAAGCAUUUGCCAAGGAUAUUUUCAUUAAUCAAGAACGAAAGUUAGGGGAUCGAAGACGAUCAGAUACCGUCGUAGUCUUAACCAUAAACUAUGCCGACUAGGGAUCGGAUGAUGUUAAUUUUUAAUGA